rnacentral:rRNA from 1 species
AGUGAACGCUGGCGGUAGGCCUAACACAUGCAAGUCGAACGGCAGCACAGGAGAGCUUGCUCUCUGGGUGGCGAGUGGCGGACGGGUGAGGAAUACAUCGGAAUCUACUCUGUCGUGGGGGAUAACGUAGGGAAACUUACGCUAAUACCGCAUACGACCUACGGGUGAAAGCAGGGGAUCUUCGGACCUUGCGCGAUUGAAUGAGCCGAUGUCGGAUUAGCUAGUUGGCGGGGUAAAGGCCCACCAAGGCGACGAUCCGUAGCUGGUCUGAGAGGAUGAUCAGCCACACUGGAACUGAGACACGGUCCAGACGCCUACGGGAGGCAGCAGUGGGGAAUAUUGGACAAUGGGCGCAAGCCUGAUUCAGCCAUGCCGCGUGGGUGAAGAAGGCCUUCGGGUUGUAAAGCCCUUUUGUUGGGAAAGAAAUCCAGCUGGCUAAUACCCGGUUGGGAUGACGGUACCCAAAGAAUAAGCACCGGCUAACUUCGUGCCAGCCGCCGCAGUAA